UACGGGGGGGCAAGCGUUGUUCGGAAUUACUGGGCGUAAAGGGCUCGUAGGUGGCCAACUAAGUCAUACGUGAAAUCCCUCGGCUUAACCGGGGAACUGCGUCUGAUACUGGUUGGCUUGAGUUUGGGAGAGGGAUGCGGAAUUCCAGGUGUAGCGGUGAAAUGCGUAGAUAAUCUGGAGGAACACCGGUGGCGAAGGCGGCAAUCCUGGACCAAUACUGACACUGAGGAGCGAAAGCCAGGGGAGCAAACGGG
rnacentral:rRNA from 1 species